AUACUAGUUUGUUACGACAAACGCACAAACGGAAACGAAAUGACGAACACAAAAACAAUCAAACCACAAGCAGAAAAUAAAGAGACAUAGAUUUACGUGGAAAACCCUUUGCAGGGAAAAAACCAUGGGCGAGGGAGGAGAGACAUUCAUUUUUCCUCCGCUACCCACCACAGACAUUCAUUUUUCCUCCAUAAUUUUCUUUUCCAAAUUGGUCGCACCGUGAAGCUGUCGGCGAGUCGUAAACCCAAACCUGAAACGAU
rnacentral:lncRNA from 1 species